GGGAANACCCGNGANNCCAACCCCGNGAGUGAUAAAGACCCUCGCGUCGUAAAAAUCUGUCAGGUGGGAAGAAAANCAGUAUGNNCGGUGGCUCUGACGGUACCCCAAAAGAGCACCGGCUAAAUNCNUGCCAGCAGCCGCGGUAAUACGGGGGGUGCAAGCGUUUUUUGGAAUUAUUGGGCGUAAAAAGCACGUAGGCGGCCUUUUAAAUCAGUUUUGAAAACCCACGGCUUAACCCCGGAAAUGCCCUUGAAACUGUCAGACUUGAGUAUCGGAGAGGGAAGCGGAAUUCUCGGUGUAGAGGUGAAAUUCGUAGAUAUCUGGAGGAACCCCCCUGGGGAAGGCGACUUUCUGGGCCAAUACUGACGCUGAGGCGCGAAAACGUGGGGAGCAAACCGGAUUUGAUAUCCCGGUAGUCCCCGCCCUAAACGAUGUACACUAGGUGUAUGUCGGUANUUCCCCUUCGGUGU
rnacentral:rRNA from 1 species